UACAGAGGUCCCGAGCGUUGUUCGGAUUCACUGGGCGUAAAGGGUGCGUAGGUGGUUGGGUAAGUCUGAUGUGAAAUCUCCGGGCUCAACCCGGAAAUGGCAUUGGAUACUAUCCAGCUCGAGGAUCGGAGGGGGGACUGGAAUUCUUGGUGUAGCAGUGAAAUGCGUAGAUAUCAAGAGGAACACCAGUGGCGAAGGCGAGUCCCUGGACGAUUCCUGACACUGAGGCACGAAAGCUAGGGGAGCAAACAGG
rnacentral:rRNA from 1 species